CUUAAAUUGUGUUUUGUGUCCCUUCAAUUCACAAACCAAAUACAGACUCCCUCUUUCUCUCAAGACAAUGCGACACUGAUCUUUCUCCAUUUCUUUUUUCUGCUUUAUUCGCGAUUCCGCCGUCUCAGUUUUGUUUCAGCCUCAACAUCAUCUCAUCUUCAACAUCGUUUCAAACAUGAUGCCACACUCCUACCUACCUCCGUUGUUCACCCUUUUGUGUCACCUCAAAUCAAGAUGCAGAUUCAGAACAACAUACAUCGUAGAAGUAAAAAGGAUUUUACCUGCACCGAUCUUGAAGAUGGAAAAUAG